rnacentral:lncRNA from 1 species
AAGUCUGGUCUGGGAAUAGGUAGUGGCUCAAGCUCUGGCACAGCUUAUCCAGUAUGCAGAAGAUGCGGAAGACCACAUGGAGGAGCUUGUCGGUUGGGAUCUACAGCCUGCUUUAGAUGUGGACAGGAAGGGUAUAUUGCUCGGGAUUGUCCUCAGGUGACUUUUGCACCAUCCCAGCAGAUGAGUUCGGGCAGUGUGGUACAGCCAGUAGUACAGCCAGCAGGUCCAGUCAUGCCUCAGAGUAGUGGCAGAGGUAGAAGGAGAGGGGCAGCCUCUACUUCAGCAGCAGGU